UAAGCGUGUGAUGAAAUUUUGUGGCUCAACCAUAAACUGUUACACGAACUGGCGAACUAGAGUAUAUGAGGGGAACCUGGAAUUCCUGGUGUAGGAGUGGAAUCCGUAGAUAUUAGGAGGAAUACCAAUGGCGUAGGCAGAGUUCUGGCAUAUUACUGACACUAAGGCACGAAAGCGUGGGGAGCGAACGGGAUUAGAUACCCCGGUAGUCCACGCCGUAAACGGUGGAUGCUA
rnacentral:rRNA from 1 species